UGGGGAAUAUUGCGCAAUGGGGGAAACCCUGACGCAGCGACGCCGCGUGCGGGAUGAAGGCCUUCGGGUUGUAAACCGCUUUUGAUUGGGAGCAAGCUUUCGGGUGAGUGUACCUUUCGAAUAAGCGCCGGCUAACUACGUGCCAGCAGCCGCGGUAAUACGUAGGGCGCAAGCGUUAUCCGGAAUUAUUGGGCGUAAAGAGUUUGUAGGCGGUUCGUCGCGUCUGGUGUGAAAGCCCAUCGCUUAACGGUGGGUUUGCGCCGGGUACGGGCGGGCUAGAGUGCAGUAGGGGAGACUGGAAUUCCCGGUGUAACGGUGGAAUGUGUAGAUAUCGGGAAGAACACCAAUGGCGAAGGCAGGUCUCUGGGCUGUUACUGACGCUGAGAAGCGAAAGCGUGGGGAGCGAACAGG
rnacentral:rRNA from 1 species